rnacentral:rRNA from 1 species
UUAAGUUAAUAAGGGCGCACGGUGGAUGCCUUGGCACUAGAAGCCGAUGAAGGACGUGACUAACGACGAAAUGCUUUGGGGAGCUGUAAGUGAGCAAUGAUCCAGAGAUGUCCGAAUGGGGGAACCCGGCAGGUAAUGCCUGUCACUCAUUACUGUUAAGGUAAUGUAGAGGAAGACGCAGUGAACUGAAACAUCUAAGUAGCUGCAGGAAGAGAAAGCAAAAGCGAUUGCCUUAGUAGCGGCGAGCGAAACGGCAAGAGGGCAAACCGAAGAGUUUACUCUUCGGGGUUGUAGGACUGCAACGUGGACUUAAAGAUUAUAGAAGAACUACCUGGGAAGGUAGGCCAAAGAGAGUAAUAGCCUCGUAUUCGAAAUAGUCUUUAUACCUAGCAGUAUCCUGAGUACGGCGAGACACGAGAAAUCUCGUCGGAAUCUGGGAGGACCAUCUCCCAACCCUAAAUACUCUCUAGUGACCGAUAGUGAACCAGUACCGUGAGGGAAAGGUGAAAAGCACCCCGGGAGGGGAGUGAAAUAGAACCUGAAACCGUGUGCCUACAACAAGUUCGAGCCCGUUAAUGGGUGAGAGCGUGCCUUUUGUAGAAUGAACCGGCGAGUUACGAUAUGAUGCGAGGUUAAGUUGAAGAGACGGAGCCGUAGGGAAACCGAGUCUUAAUAGGGCGCAUUAGUAUCAUGUCGUAGACCCGAAACCAUGUGACCUACCCAUGAGCAGGUUGAAGGUGAGGUAAAACUCACUGGAGGACCGAACCAGGGCACGUUGAAAAGUGCUUGGAUGACUUGUGGGUAGCGGAGAAAUUCCAAACGAACUUGGAGAUAGCUGGUUCUCUCCGAAAUAGCUUUAGGGCUAGCGUCGAUGUUAAGUCUCUUGGAGGUAGAGCACUGUUUGGGUGAGGGGUCCAUCCCGGAUUACCAAUCUCAGAUAAACUCCGAAUGCCAACGAGAUAUAAUCGGCAGUCAGACUGCGAGUGCUAAGAUCCGUAGUCGAAAGGGAAACAGCCCAGACCACCAGCUAAGGUCCCAAAAUAUAUGUUAAGUGGAAAAGGAUGUGGGGUUGCACAGACAACUAGGAUGUUAGCUUGGAAGCAGCUAUUCAUUCAAAGAGUGCGUAAUAGCUCACUAGUCGAGUGACCCUGCGCCGAAAAUGUACCGGGGCUAAAACAUAUUACCGAAGCUGUGGAUACCUUUAUAGGUAUGGUAGGAGAGCGUUCUAUGUGCGAAGAAGGUGUACCGUGAGGAGUGCUGGAGCGCAUAGAAGUGAGAAUGCCGGUAUGAGUAGCGAAAGACAGGUGAGAAUCCUGUCCACCGUAAGACUAAGGUUUCCAGGGGAAGGCUCGUCCGCCCUGGGUUAGUCGGGACCUAAGGAGAGACCGAAAGGUGUAUCCGAUGGACAACAGGUUGAUAUUCCUGUACUAGAGUAUAUAGUGAUGGAGGGACGCAGUAGGCUAACUAAACCAGACGAUUGGAAGUGUCUGGCCAAGCAGUGAGGUGUGAUAUGAGUCAAAUGCUUAUAUCUAUAACAUUGAGCUGUGAUGGGGAGCGAAGUUUAGUAGCGAAGUUAGUGAUGUCACACUGCCGAGAAAAGCUUCUAGCGUUAAUUAUACUCUACCCGUACCGCAAACCGACACAGGUAGUCGAGGCGAGUAGCCUCAGGUGAGCGAGAGAACUCUCGUUAAGGAACUCGGCAAAAUGGCCCCGUAACUUCGGGAGAAGGGGCGCUGACUUAUGGUCAGCCGCAGUGAAUAGGCCCAAGCAACUGUUUAUCAAAAACACAGCUCUCUGCUAAAUCGUAAGAUGAUGUAUAGGGGGUGACGCCUGCCCGGUGCUGGAAGGUUAAGAGGAGUGCUUAGCGUAAGCGAAGGUAUGAAUUGAAGCCCCAGUAAACGGCGGCCGUAACUAUAACGGUCCUAAGGUAGCGAAAUUCCUUGUCGGGUAAGUUCC